CUGACUGGAGAUUCCAACUAUAUCCUGGCCUUUAAGCCUUCAAUAAUGAGAAACACUUAAUUUUUUUUCCCAUAUUUGGUGCAUCUUUAUUGAAUACCACAGGCACAGAUAUCACUAUUUUAGUUGGACCAUAACAGUGCCCCAAAUUCCUUCUUCAUAAGUAUACAGCUCAUCAUUGAUCCUUGGGAUUUGUUUAUAUGUUUUCUUCUCUGUUACUGAUCUAUUUAUUUUCAAAUGUGAAAAUUCAUGUUAUGGUGCGAAGAGUUUGAGUCUCAAGUCAGAAAAUCAGAAGAUUCAAGUAUAUAUAGGAAAAAAUGAGAAAUACUAUGGGAAUGUGGAGGUUUGAAAUAAUAUUUUGGUUUUUCCUUCCCAUGGCAUUCAAUGUCCUUCAACCCCCUCUUCAAACUCCCUGCAUCCCGAUUAUACACUCACAUGUUUAUAAAUGUGCAAGCAUAUUACAUGCUGAACAGUAGUGAGAGAUGGUCUUUUUCUCUAGUAUGGAACUUUAAAAAUAUGCAGAGAAGUGUUUUUUGCUCUCCCCAAAACUCACAUGGAAUAAUCAGGUUAAUUCUUUCUUUUUCCUUUUCUUCACUUUCUUUUCUUUCUUUCUUUCUUUUUUUUUUUUUUUUUUUGGCAUCAACUACAUUCUGAGGAUUAUUACACCCAAGACUUUUUUGAGCAAGGAGUAGAGAUUGUCACAUUGUGGCCGGUUGAUCCUGAAACCCUAGCUUGAAUCAGAGAUUGGAAUUUGCAUCAAGGGCAGCUUUCUGUGUAAUGGCCAGCAGCCUACGAGAUGGUCUGAUAUGGGAUUUUUUUCUAGAAGCUAUAUUCAUGCCAGAAAUCAAAGGAGAUUUUUCCUUCCUGGGAAAACAGCUACAGGGCGUCUUGAGGGCGAGGAAGUGAUAAGGGAACUCCGCCUUAAACAAAACCAACUCCAAUCUGAAGCUGCUAUCCCUACCUGGACCUGAGGUGGUGGUGGUGGUAGGCCGGAUGGUUUCCUGCCACAGCCUGCAUCUGAGAAAGAAACCCUGAAGGGCCUUGAAGUUGACAAUCAGAGCAACAGAAAGGAAGCAGUGAGGCUAGAGGUUGCCGGUGGAACUGAGGAGUGAUCCUGCCACUGAGAGGCUUCUAAGCAGAA